UGAAAAUGUUUGACAUUUCCAUUGUUUGCCCAUCAGUUCCACUGGAGACAAAAGGUCCCAAAGUCAGACUGCUGCCACCGCCAGAGGGAGAGACCAAGAGUGGGAACACGGUCACCCUCGAGUGUGUUGCCUCUGGAUUCUACCCGGACCAAAUAACCGUCACCUGGGAGAAAGGGGACUCUCUGAUCUCUUCCAACACCAGUGUGAGACAAACUGCUCUGGAACAGGCAGGGACUUUCAUUGCCAGCUACGUCCUGACCGUGAGCACAGAGGAGUGGAAGGAAGGCUCAGUUUUCAGAUGCACAGUGUCUCAUCCCCCCUCCAACACCAGUGUCAGGCAGGAUGUGAAAAACAUUCAAGAAACCUGCACAGACAUGACAGGAGAGGAGGGGAAGGAAGAACAGGGACACGUGGAUGGAGAUGACAAUGUGCUUACAGUUGUUGCCUUUGUCAUUCUGUUCAUCAUCAGUUUCCUCUACAGCACCUUAGUCACCGUUGUCAAGGUUCAGCAGUGACCAGCAGAUACACACCCCACAUUCAAUCAGGAGAUCCCCAUGUGGCUGCGAUGUUUGGAAAUGGAGUCUCCAUCUCACUCACUCGGCAAUCCGAGGCUACUGCACUGCAACUGCUCAUUUCAGGAAAUAAACCUCUAAAUGUACCGGGAAUGCCAGAUGGGAAAUGGGGGCACAGAGCCGGUUCAGUGGGUGGAGGGACAGCGGUGGAUGAUACAUUGGGAAAAUGGCAGGAUAUGUGACACUGGAGGGGGUAUACAGGAGGGGAGAGGAAGGCAGAGUUAAGGCUUGGGAAUGGGAGCAGGGGAAUGGGGGUGUGUUUAGUGAUGGAGAAGAGGGAGUUGAGGAAGUGGUUAUUAUUGUUAUGGAGCAAGAAGUUGACAUGGGGAGGGGGAGUGUGGUGGAGGAUGUUCUGUCAAAUUUUGUAAAUCAAAUUUUGUGGAAAUCAUUGCCUGUAGCUUUUCUUCCAGUUUUCCACUGGAGUUUAUGUCAUGAUUUGAAAUUUUAUUCAUUAAAAAUAAAGAAAAAGAGAAAAUGAAGUGACUGGAGUUGAUAAAACUGAGGG